ensembl:lncRNA
UGCCCAUAUUUGGGCAUACGGUCAGGACAAAUCAAAUUAAAUUGUAUUUGUCACAUACACAUGGUUAGCAGAUGUUAAUGUGAGUGUAGCGAAAUGCUUGUGCUUCUAGUUCCGACUAUACAGUAAUAACUAACAUCCCGUUCCUGGUGGGAAGGGAUCAUGCGGUUAUGCCCUUAUAUGGGCAUCCUUUUCCUCACGCCUUAGAGCGAGUGCUAUGGAGUUUCCUUCUCUGACCACCACCACGUAUUAUUUGCACUACAAGCUCGAGGUUCCUAUCGGCUCUGACGGAAACAUUUGACUGAACAAGUCAAGGGCCAUAAAUUGUUCCAGAUCUGCUUCAUCAUUGGGUAAAAUAAGAGAUACCGUGCUAUGCAUGUCUCCACAAUAAGAGAUACCGUGCUAUGCAUGUCUCCACAAAUUUCCAACUGUAAGACAUCAUGUGGUUCGCCAUAAUCUCUAGCCCUGUCUAACAGUUCGUUCAAAGUGUCCAAAAUCAUCACAGCACAGUCAAUAUUCUGAUUCACCCAUGCGAAAUUGAAAAACUGUUGAAUCUCUGUAUUGUUGAAUUGAUUUCGGUACACAACACGUACACUUCUAUCAAGACUGUACUCCUCCUGAUUUGUUAGACAAUUUUCCAACUGCUCAAAAACAUCAUAUUGCAUUUCAGACUAUUCAGACAUGGCUUAGAGGUGUUGCAGCAUUAGACCUUUGGCUCUCGUUCAUCUGGGUAAUAUGAGGGCUUCGGGAAUCUGUGAUAACAGGUUUUCAUCGGACAGCCCUGACUCAUUCAUACGAUUAAUCAUUUCUAUGAGUUUGGGGAAUCUGUGAUAAUAUGUUUUCAUCUAUCGCCAUUAUGUCUGUUACCCCCGCAUCAUAUGGCUUGGAGUUCUGGCGGUAUCUGGGAUAAGAGGUUUUCAACUGUCUCCUAGGUCUAUUGGAUCCGCCAUUUGGAUUAUUAAGGAUGUGUUGUGUUAUUCUGGAAGGAUCCGUGUUACAUAUAUGCUUUUAACGCCUGUAUUUGCGCUGUUUAAUCUGAUUGUUGUUUAACCUACGUGGAAUCGCUCUCCGACAGAAUGAUAUAUCCUGGCGGUUUUGACGCUCCAGUAAAACAUCCGUCUGUGGAGCAAAACACUUCUGGAUUUUCAACCCUUUGAAAAGGCCUGUUCUAUUUCAGAACCGUCUGUUGCCUCCACAGAAUCAGAAUCAAGAAGGUUGGCCGCUUCACAUCACAUCAAAUCGUCUACCUCGGAAAUGUCAUAUAAAACGUUGAAAUCAUCCGGUUUCGUUGUUUUAUUGGUGAAAUACUCUGCUCUCUGUGUGUGGUCUUCUGUGCCGUUAUACACCAGAGAGGAGUCUGAAGUAAAAUAAUAUUUACAAAAUAGGUUAUUAACCCUAAAAUAUGUUAGAUAACAAAUGUCAAAUACAUUUCAGAUAUAAUCCUAUAUAUUAACAUAAAUAAAAUACCUCUGCUUUUUUAACGAGGGCUGUUGAAACCGAAGGAGGUUGUCUUUUGUCAUCAAGAAUGACCGAUUCUGCCUGGCCUGUAGCGCUGGAGCCUGAAAAAACAUUAUUUGUCCUUGUUUUAACAUGUUCAAGCCUAAAAAUGUAUAAAUAAUGAAAUAUGUCUAAAUAAUAAUAUAUAUAUAAUGGCUUCAUACCAUGUCCAUGGAGCACCGUGUCGUGAAGCCGUAAGUUCCCUAUCAGGGAGUACUUUUCUGGUUGGUUCUGAGCAAUGUAUUCAUGUGUCACACCCUGGCCUUAGUAUUCUGUGUUUUCUGGUUGGUUCUGAGCAAUGUAUUCAUGUGUCACACCCUGGCCUUAGUAUUCUGUGUUUUCUGGUUGGUUCUGAGCAAUGUAUUCAUGUGUCACACCCUGGCCUUAGUAUUCUGUGUUCUCUUUAUUAUUUUGGUCAGGCCAGGGUGUGACAUGGGUGAUUAUGUGUUUCCUUGUCUAGGGGUUUUUAUAGAUUGAUGGGGUUGUGUUCAGUUGAGUGUUCUAGGUACGUCUAUGGUUGCCUAGAGUGGUUCUCAAUCAGAGGCAGGUGUUUAUCGUUGUCUCUGAUUUAUAUGUAUAUUAUAUGUAUAUUAUAUGUAUAUUAUAUGUAUA